rnacentral:rRNA from 1 species
GGGUGGUAAUACCGGAUGCUCCGCUCCAUCGCAUGGUGGGGUGGGAAAUGCUUUUGCGGCAUGGGAUGGGGUCGCGUCCUAUCAGCUUGUUGGCGGGGUGAUGGCCCACCAAGGCGUUGACGGGUAGCCGGCCUGAGAGGGUGACCGGCCACAUUGGGACUGAGAUACGGCCCAGACUCCUACGGGAGGCAGCAGUGGGGAAUAUUGCACAAUGGGCGCAAGCCUGAUGCAGCGACGCCGCGUGCGGGAUGGAGGCCUUCGGGUUGUAAACCGCUUUUGUUCAAGGGCAAGGCACGGUUUCGGCCGUGUUGAGUGGAUUGUUCGAAUAAGCACCGGCUAACUACGUGCCAGCAGCCGCGGUAAUACGUAGGGUGCGAGCGUUAUCCGGAUUUAUUGGGCGUAAAGGGCUCGUAGGCGGUUCGUCGCGUCCGGUGUGAAAGUCCAUCGCCUAACGGUGGAUCUGCGCCGGGUACGGGCGGGCUGGAGUGCGGUAGGGGAGACUGGAAUUCCCGGUGUAACGGUGGAAUGUGUAGAUAUCGGGA